rnacentral:ncRNA from 1 species
UAAAAUUAUGGUUCUUUUGAUUAAAAGGGAAUUAAGUAUAAGCUUAAACGGUCCCGCCACUGUAAUGAUGACGAAAAUAGAAAAACCACUGAAAGUAAUAUUUUGGGAAGGGCUAUUAGUAGGAUGAAUCUAAGUCAGGAUACCUGCCAUAAUUAGU